rnacentral:misc_RNA from 1 species
GUAUUGAUUGCGUGUCAUCGCAAAAUGGGGUCAUUCUACACUUUUUAAAAGGGGUUUGUGUGAAAACGCAAGCACCCUCCUGGAUCGGUUUGAUCCCAAAGGGUGCCCACGCGGUGGUGCACAAAAGGGUGAGAUGGAUUUUUAUGUGAGAGGACACACUCUGGCGUGCACGACUCUUGUGGUAAAAGUCAGCGACAGCCCUCGCAUGCCUCACACAUUUUGUACGAUAAUGAUCCUUCCGCAGGUUCACCUACGGAAA